ensembl:lncRNA
GCUGUCUUUCUAAGCAGAAAGAAGCUAUUUCUCACCAGGAUAGGUAACUGAGAAUUAUAGAUUUCACUCCCCAGAGAAGUUUAAGGAAAUAAGGGGCAUUGAGAUGUUUGGGGAACUUUAGUAGUGUCUGGAGACAGGUUGAAAACCAGAUACUCCCUGGAGACUCGUUUCAGCUACAGGACUGUGAGGCCUGCCUCCCUCAGGGGAGGUAACCACACACACCAGGACCGGCUCAGGUUUGGUGCAGAGGAUGGGCUAAGUCAUCUCAGGCAGUUCCCUUAGCAAUAAAACAGGGAUCAUAAUAUGACUGAGGAUGCAUGCACGCACUUGAUCAGAGCCAAUCGAAAAUGCAAGGAAUCUAAUCUGGAUUUGUUUGGCUUUUCGAAUACCCAGAAAUUCACCAUUCUUCUCUAGGUUGACUUUGAUUUUUCUUGAGAAGGGGACCACUGUGCUCUUCCAAAAGAAGUCAUUAAAAAAAUAUAUUAAAAAAACUUUUUUGGCUGCACUGUGUGGCAAGUGGGACCCUAGUUCCUCCUCCAGGGAUCAAACCUGACUCCUCUGCAUUUGAAGGUGGAAUCAACCACAGGAAAGUCUGGAAACCACUUUUUAAGUCUAUUUCCUGCUGUUUCUGGACCUUAGGGAACUUCAAAAGGGCAAAGAAACCUUGCACAGAAGCAGCAAGGAAGCAAGCCCAACCCUGGACCUCUGGAAGAUGUGGCCAAGGAACCAGGCCCUUACUCCACCCUCCACAGGGUCUGGCCACCCACUCAGAGCCCUGUCUCCUCGCUGCCUACACCCCAGGCCACGCAGCCACUUGGAGGGCCCAGACCUGGGACUGCUCUGCAGUCACAGAGUCUACAAGUUGAGAAGCAGGUCUUUACUCAGGGUGGUGAUUCUGCUACCAUCAUCCCUGGCCUUGAUUUCAGUGAGGCAAGCAGUUGUCUAGAGAUGCCCUGAACAGCAAAGCUCACACAUUCUCUUGUUUAUCUGGGGAAAUGCCUUCUAACUCUAAACAAUUGACUUACCAACUCCCUGAGAACAAUGCCCAUUCAUCAGACGGGGACAUUCUGCUCCCUGGGAGAGGGAGUGGGCGGGGUGUCACCCUGCAAGCUGGCAGACACCCUGCAAGUGUCCCAGCGCUUACUCAGAACAUGAACAUGCAGGGUGGGCUGGUCCAAACCUGCCCGGAGGAACACAGCCUGUGCCCCUGGCCCUGACACGUCCUGCCCGCAUGCGCCUGCUCUUCUUUCUGAGCUGGAGAAUACUGACUGGGUGCCUGUGUCCUCUGCUGAGGUCACAUCCACGCCUUCAGAUACCAUCUAGGACAGAAACAUUGAGAACAAACUUCACUCCUGGGGCAGGGUGGGGACCUCUUACGGUGUCUGCUCACUGUAAGUGAAAUUGUUUAGAAAUCAGAACAUGGAGGUUUUUGUUUGGAGGUUUUGUUUUGUUUUGUCUUGGUGUUGCUUGUUUGCUUGCAUUGCAUGUAGGGAAAUGCUUUAUUUGUUUUUUCUUUUUUUUUUUUUAAUUUGUUUUUUUCUUUCAGUUUUAUUUUUUAUUUUUUUGAAAUGUAACUGAGACACUAAGUUUUAGGGGACCAGCACCUGACUUACACAUAUUCUGAGAUGAUGACCAUGAUGAGCUUAGUGUAAAUCCAUUAUCUCAAGAGUCCCUGGGGGUCCAGUGGUUAGAAUGUUGCGCUCCCACUGCUGGUGCCCAAGUCUGAUCCCUGGUUGGGGAACAAAGAUCCCACAAGCUGAGCAGUGCAGCAAAAAAAAAAGAAGACUCUAUCACCGCCUAGAGACUUUAAAAAGAAAACCUUUUCUCCUUGUGAAGAGGACAUUUAGGACCUACCUUCUUAACAGUCUCUAGACACUCCAUACGACAGUGUUAACCACAGUUCGAAGGCUGGACAUGACAUCUUGGGACUAGUAGAAUUCUAAGCAGAGGUAGAAAGAGUUUCGUGAGGCUGAAAGCUUACACAGUCAGAAUGGCGGGCCGGCAGGGUGUGUGUGUGUGUGUGUCGGGGGGUGGGGCACAGCAAUUUUUAAAAUUACAAAUGACAUAGAAGGCCUUCCAAUACAAGAAAGAAGACCAUGAAGCCUAAGAUUCAUUCACUUACGGUAAACCCAACUUUGGGAAAUAAGGAAAGCACCCAGAAGAUUCCAGGGAAACACAGUCUUACACAGCUGUGAAUGGCUUUUUCCAAAACAUUCUUGGGCUUCCCAGGUGGCUCACAUGGUAAAGAAUCCACCUGCAAUGCAGGAGACACGGGUUCAAUCCCUGGGUCAGGAAGAUCGCCUGGAGAAGGGAAAUGCUACCCACUCCAGUAUUCUUGCCUGAAGAAUUCCAUGGACAGAAAACAUUCUCACUCCUUCUUGCCUUGACUGAAAUCUGCAUUUUUCCUGACAAAGCCAUUUAGGCGAAAGCCCUCUGGGGUAAAGGCCCUCUUUGCUCCCAGCCCCCAGGUGUGGCCGUCUGGUCUGGUGGGGGAGUUGCCACACCCCGCGGUUAAAGACCUGGCUCUGUAGGGGCUCCAGCCAGACCACCUCCCCCAUUUUGGUUGCUGUCCUCCAGCCACCUCAGAGGAGUGACGGUCAAACUCGUGAAGACGUGAUUAACC